rnacentral:rRNA from 1 species
CACGAACGCUGGCGGCGUGCUUAACACAUGCAAGUCGAACGGAAAGGCCCUGCUUUUGUGGGGUGCUCGAGUGGCGAACGGGUGAGUAACACGUGAGUAACCUGCCCUUGACUUUGGGAUAACUUCAGGAAACUGGGGCUAAUACCGGAUAGGAGCUCCUGCUGCAUGGUGGGGGUUGGAAAGUUUCGGCGGUUGGGGAUGGACUCGCGGCUUAUCAGCUUGUUGGUGGGGUAGUGGCUUACCAAGGCUUUGACGGGUAGCCGGCCUGAGAGGGUGACCGGCCACAUUGGGACUGAGAUACGGCCCAGACUCCUACGGGAGGCAGCAGUGGGGAAUAUUGCACAAUGGGCGGAAGCCUGAUGCAGCAACGCCGCGUGCGGGAUGACGGCCUUCGGGUUGUAAACCGCUUUCGCCUGUGACGAAGCGUGAGUGACGGUAAUGGGUAAAGAAGCACCGGCUAACUACGU